GAACGCUGGCGGCAGGCCUAACACAUGCAGGUCGAGCGGUAGCACAGAGAGCUUGCUCUCGGGUGACGAGCGGCGGACGGGUGAGUAAUGUCUGGGAAACUGCCUGAUGGAGGGGGAUAACUACUGGAAACGGUAGCUAAUACCGCAUAAUGUCGCAAGACCAAAGUGGGGGACCUUCGGGCCUCAUGCCAUCAGAUGUGCCCAGAUGGGAUUAGCUAGUAGGUGGGGUAACGGCUCACCUAGGCGACGAUCCCUAGCUGGUCUGAGAGGAUGACCAGCCACACUGGAACUGAGACACGGUCCAGACUCCUACGGGAGGCAGCAGUGGGGAAUAUUGCACAAUGGGCGCAAGCCUGAUGCAGCCAUGCCGCGUGUGUGAAGAAGGCCUUCGGGUUGUAAAGCACUUUCAGCGGGGAGGAAGGCGGUGAGGUUAAUAACCUCACCGAUUGACGUUACCCGCAGAAGAAGCACCGGCUAACUCCGUGCCAGCAGCCGCGGUAAUACGGAGGGUGCAAGCGUUAAUCGGAAUUACUGGGCGUAAAGCGCACGCAGGCGGUCUGUCAAGUCGGAUGUGAAAUCCCCGGGCUCAACCUGGGAACUGCAUUCGAAACUGGCAGGCUAGAGUCUUGUAGAGGGGGGUAGAAUUCCAGGUGUAGCGGUGAAAUGCGUAGAGAUCUGGAGGAAUACCGGUGGCGAAGGCGGCCCCCUGGACAAAGACUGACGCUCAGGUGCGAAAGCGUGGGGAGCAAACAGGAUUAGAUACCCUGGUAGUCCACGCCGUAAACGAUGUCGAUUUGGAGGUUGUGCCCUUGAGGCGUGGCUUCCGGAGCUAACGCGUUAAAUCGACCGCCUGGGGAGUACGGCCGCAAGGUUAAAACUCAAAUGAAUUGACGGGGGCCCGCACAAGCGGUGGAGCAUGUGGUUUAAUUCGAUGCAACGCGAAGAACCCUACCUGGUCUUGACAUCCACAGAACUUUCCAGAGAUGGAUUGGUGCCUUCGGGAACUGUGAGACAGGUGCUGCAUGGCUGUCGUCAGCUCGUGUUGUGAAAUGUUGGGUUAAGUCCCGCAACGAGCGCAACCCUUAUCCCUUGUUGCCAGCGGUCCGGCCGGGAACUCAAAGGAGACUGCCAGUGAUAAACUGGAGGAAGGUGGGGAUGACGUCAAGUCAUCAUGGCCCUUACGACCAGGGCUACACACGUGCUACAAUGGCAUAUACAAAGAGAAGCGACCUCGCGAGAGCAAGCGGACCUCAUAAAGUAUGUCGUAGUCCGGAUUGGAGUCUGCAACUCGACUCCAUGAAGUCGGAAUCGCUAGUAAUCGUAGAUCAGAAUGCUACGGUGAAUACGUUCCCGGGCCUUGUACACACCGCCCGUCACACCAUGGGAGUGGGUUGCAAAAGAAGUAGGUAGCUUAACCUUCGGGAGGGCGCUUACCACUUUGUGAUUCAUGACUGGGGUGAA
rnacentral:rRNA from 1 species